GACGAACGCUGGCGGCGUGCUUAACACAUGCAAGUCGAACGGUAAGGCCUUCGGGUACACGAGUGGCGAACGGGUGAGUAACACGUGGGUGAUCUGCCCUGCACUUUGGGAUAAGCCUGGGACACUGGGUCUAAUACCGGAUAGGACUACGCACUGCAUGGUGUGUGGUGGAAAGCUUUUGCGGUGUGGGAUGGGCCCGCGGCCUAUCAGCUUGUUGGUGGGGUGAUGGCCUACCAAGGCGACGACGGGUGGCCGGCCUGAGAGGGUGUCCGGCCACACUGGGACUGAGAUACGGCCCAGACUCCUACGGGAGGCAGCAGUGGGGAAUAUUGCACAAUGGGCGCAAGCCUGAUGCAGCGACGCCGCGUGGGGGAUGACGGCCUUCGGGUUGUAAACCUCUUUCAGCACAGACGAAGCGCAAGUGACGGUAUGUGCAGAAGAAGGACCGGCCAACUACGUGCCAGCCGCCGCCGUAAUAC
rnacentral:rRNA from 1 species